rnacentral:rRNA from 1 species
AUUGAACGCUGGCGGCAGGCCUAACACAUGCAAGUCGAACGGCAGCGGGGGAUAGCUUGCUAUCCUGCCGGCGAGUGGCGGACGGGUGAGUAAUGCAUGGGGAGCUGCCCAAUCGAGGGGGAUAACAACUGGAAACGGUUGCUAAUACCGCAUACGCCCUGCGGGGGAAAGGUGGGGACCUUCGGGCCUACCGCGAUUGGAUGCACCCAUGUGGGAUUAGCUGGUUGGUGAGGUAACGGCUCACCAAGGCGACGAUCUCUAGCUGGUCUGAGAGGAUGACCAGCCACACUGGAACUGAGACACGGUCCAGACUCCUACGGGAGGCAGCAGUGGGGAAUAUUGCACAAUGGGGGAAACCCUGAUGCAGCCAUGCCGCGUGUGUGAAGAAGGCCUUCGGGUUGUAAAGCACUUUCAGUGGGGAGGAAGGGGAGCAAGCUAAUAACUUGCUUCAUUGACGUUACCCACAGAAGAAGCACCGGCUAACUCCGUGCCAGCCGCCGCAGUAACAC